AUUCAUACAGUCAAACUGAUGCAACAGGUCAGAAAUAUAUUUAUGCUGAUUGAGGAGCAUCCCACCAGGAACUACAGACAUCUCAAUGCUCAGAAAAUAAUGCAAAGACCCAAGGUCUUUGAUCUUGAACUGAUCAUCCAAAAACAUCUUCAGGGCAGAUAGCUCAUCAUUGUCAUCCCCAGUGAUGAUAAUAUCAUCCACAUAGACUGCUACAAUAACAAAACAGCCAGCCUGUCCUUUGAUAAAUAGAGAAUAAUCAUUCAUGGAAUGACUAUAGCCUCUGGAAUAAAGGGCAGAGGACAACUUGGCAUACCACUGUCUGGAUGCCUGCCUCAACCCAUAUAGGGAUUUUUUCAAUUUACAUACAAGAGGAGGAUAUGGAGAAGAGACAGAGUCAGAAGAAGAUACAGAGACAGAUAAACCUGGGGGAAGCUUCAUAUAAACCUCCUCAUCCAAAUCACCAUGCAAGACUGCAUUGUUAACAUCAAGUUGAAAAAGUGGCCAAUGCUUCUUAACAGCCACUGCAAUAAGACACUUCACAGUGGACAUUUUAACCACAGGAGAAAAAGUAUCAGUAAAAUCCACCUCUUCAACUUGAGUAUCCACCUCUUCAACUUGAGUAAAAUCCACCACUGCAUUGCAACCAAUGGGUUCCUUACCAGAAGGAAGGGGAACAAUGUCCCAAGUGCAGUUAGCAUCCAAAGCAUCAAACUCCUUUCUCAUGGCAUCCUGCCAUACUGGAACUGAUGCAGCUUGAGAGUAGUAAAGGGGUUCAGUCUCAAACUCCUUUCUCAUGGCAUCCUGCCAUACUGGAACUGAUGCAGCUUGAGAGUAGUAAGGGGGUUCAGUCUCCAGAGGAGAAGAAGAAGACCCAGAGAAAGCAGGAAGGUUAAAAACAUAAUCCUUAAGAUAAGAAGGAGGAUUGUGCUGUCUUCCAGAUUUCCUGGGAACAUCAGUUGAUGUGGAAGAAGGAAAAGUAGGAGGGGAGAUGUCAGGGUUGAAAGGAGGAUUGGAAAUUGGAUUUGAAUGAGGAGAAUCUGGAACAGGAGGUGGACGUGGAGAGGAAGAGAGUGGAAUAGAGAAGUCUUGGUCAGAAGAGGAAUGUUCAAUGGGAGGAAUAGAAGGAAAAGAGGAAGGGAAAGCAGGAGGAACAGAGGUGACAGAAGAGGCAGAUUUGAAGGGAAAAGAAGUUUCAUGAAAGACAGAAUAGAAGGAAAAAAGGAAGGGAAAGCAGGAGGAACAGAGUGACAGAAGAGGCAGAUUUGAAAGGAAAAGAAGUUUCAUGAAAGACAGCAUCCCUGGAUACAAAACACUUUUUGGAACUAAGAUCAUAUAGUUUAUAACCCUUUUUAGCAAAAGGAUACACUAGGAAAACGCAAGAAAUGGCCCUAGGCUUUAACUUGUCCCUUUGAGGAAUGGGGACAGUAGCAUAGGCAAGG
rnacentral:lncRNA from 1 species